rnacentral:rRNA from 1 species
GAUGAACGCUGGCGGCGUGCCUAAUACAUGCAAGUCGAGCGAACAGACGAGGAGCUUGCUCCUCUGACGUUAGCGGCGGACGGGUGAGUAACACGUGGAUAACCUACCUAUAAGACUGGGAUAACUUCGGGAAACCGGAGCUAAUACCGGAUAAUAUAUUGAACCGCAUGGUUCAAUAGUGAAAGACGGUUUUGCUGUCACUUAUAGAUGGAACCGCGCCGCAUUAGCUAGUUGGUAAGGUAACGGCUUACCAAGGCGACGAUGCGUAGCCGACCUGAGAGGGUGAUCGGCCACACUGGAACUGAGACACGGUCCAGACUCCUACGGGAGGCAGCAGUAGGGAAUCUUCCGCAAUGGGCGAAAGCCUGACGGAGCAACGCCGCGUGAGUGAUGAAGGUCUUCGGAUCGUAAAACUCUGUUAUUAGGGAAGAACAAAUGUGUAAGUAACUAUGCACGUCUUGACGGUACCUAAUCAGAAAGCCACGGCUAACUACGUG